rnacentral:misc_RNA from 1 species
GUGAGUCAUCGAAUCUUUGAACGCACCUUGCGCUCCUUGGUAUUCCUUGGAGCAUGCCUGUUUGAGUAUCAUGAAAUCUUCAAAGUAAAAUCUUUUGUUCACUCAAUUGGUUUGACUUUGGUAUUUGGAGGUUUUUGCAGCUUCACACCUGCUCCUCUUUGUGCAUUAGCUGGAUCUCAGUGUUAUGCUUGGUUCCACUCAGCGUGAUAAAUUAUCUAUCGUUGAGGACACCGUAAAAAGGUGGCCAAGGUAAAUGCAGAUGAACCGCUUCUAAUAGUCCAUUGACUUGGACAAUAUUUU